CGAGGGCGUCGUCGAGGACGUCGCCGCUGCGGCCGACGAAGGGUUCGCCCUGCUCGUCCUCGUUCGCGCCGGGGCCCUCGCC
rnacentral:tRNA from 1 species